CAGGUCCCCGCGGCGAUGGGCACGGAGCUGAGCGCUCAGUGGGCUCUUUAUUCCCUGUCUCGCCCGGAGCCGGGGUGUCGGCGCUGGGAAAGGAAAAGGCUCAGGAACAUCAAACGGUUCCCACGGGCCGGCGCGGGGGUCACAUGAAGCACCGGGAACGUCUCGGGAGAUAAAGGGGCUUUGUGGGGCUGGGAGCCGCGGUGGGGACAGCCCCACACUGCCCAGUGACCCCAGAGCUGCCCCGGGCGGGGGUGGCCCCAUCUCACCCGAUGUGGCCUUGCCUGGCAUCCUGUGCGAGCUCUGGCAUGGACACGGUGUGACGGUCGGUGGCAGGGUGCCACGGGCUUUGAACCAAACUGGUCCCAGAAGGAGCCCUGGCACUUGGCCCUGUGCCCACAUGGCAUCAGAGAGGUCCUGACCCCUCUGCUGGGAAGGAGGCAGCAGAGUUUGGAGCCACCUGGUGCAAAAUGAGGAUGCACAGCCUUGCUCCUGCUCGAGUGGGAACUGGAACCACUGGGACCACCACACUGCAGAGCUGGGGCUGGAAAACUUUGUGUUGGGAGCAGGUCCUGCAGAUGGAGAGAGGAAGAGGAGGAGGAUGCUAUGAACAGGUUUGUCCUCUUGGCCUCACAAAAUUUAAAAACAACACUGUUAUUUUCAUAGACCCUGGUCAUUUUUUUAGGCUGAGGAAAAGAAAAGCAACCCCAGGCUGUAUGAGAGGGGCCAGAAAAGCUGUUGGUCUGGAGGGAGGAAGCAUCAGUGCCAGCUCAGCCCCAUCCCUGGCCUGGCUCCUUCCUCAUCCUCAUCCCCAGCCCUCUCCUGCUUUCACGUGCAGCAUCCCAUGGUCUGCAUUUCCCUCAGGAUUUUCUGGGAUAAACACCAGCUGGGGAAGGGGAGAGAGGGCUGGAUGCAGGCAACCCUCAUCCCCUUGUGCACAGCCCCAGCCCCUGCCCAGUCCUGCUGCCUGAUGUCUACCUGUAACUCCUGAAAUCCUUUUCAAUCAGAAUCCAAAUGUGCUGUAUUUGGGGAAAAUUCCAGGGAUCUGCAGCCAGGUUGGAUUUCAGAGGAGCUGGGAAUCCCACAGAGGUCAGAGCCUGCUCACUGCAGCAGCUCCCAGCCCCAAAAUCAGCCUUUGGGUGGCACCGGGAGGAAGAGGAGGAAGAGGAAAGGGCUGCAGGGUUUGGGAGCCCAGCAGAGGUGUGACCCUCCCAAAAGUGAUGGAAAUAUUGGUACAGGCAGCUCUGACACCCAUUAGGGGCAGAGACCCCCUUGCCAAAGCACUCAUUCUGAGGAGGAAGCCUCCUUACUCUUUACUUUCCUAAAACCCCCCAAAAAAUGGAUUUCUCUUGGCCAGAGGAGCCGGGCUAUGCCAGGGAAGCGGAGCUGACGUUUCCUCUGCUGAGCCACAAAAAGGGAAUUUUGCUGCCGACUCCACCCCUUCCAUCCAUCCGACCAGGACCCAAAAAUCACCAUUUCCUCUUGGCCUGUGAAUCACUAAUAAACUCCAGACAGAAAGGGCUGAUUAGGAAAUU
rnacentral:lncRNA from 1 species